rnacentral:rRNA from 1 species
ACUGCUCAGUAACACGUGGAUAACCUGCCCUUGGGUCCGGCAUAACCCCGGGAAACUGGGGAUAAUUCCGGAUAACGCAUAUAUGCUGGACUGCUUUCUGCGUCAAAUGGAUUCGUCUGCCCAAGGAUGGGUCUGCGGCCUAUCAGGUAGUAGUGGGUGUAAUGUACCUACUAGCCUACGACGGGUACGGGUUGUGAGAGCAAGAGCCCGGAGAUGGAUUCUGAGACAUGAAUCCAGGCCCUACGGGGCGCAGCAGGCGCGAAAACUUUACAAUGCGGGAAACCGUGAUAAGGGGACACCGAGUGCCAGCGUCAUACGCUGGCUGUCCAGGUGUGUAAAAUACACCUGAUAGCAAGGGCCGGGCAAGACCGGUGCCAGCCGCCGCGGUAACACCGGCGGCCCGAGUGGUAAUCGUGAUUAUUGGGUCUAAAGGGUCCGUAGCCGGUUUGGUCAGUCCUCCGGGAAAUCUGACAGCUCAACUGUUAGGCUUUCGGCGGAUACUGCCAGACUUGGAACCGGGAGAGGUAAGAGGUACUACAGGGGUAGGAGUGAAAUCUUGUAAUCCCUGUGGGACCACCUGUGGCGAAGGCGUCUUACCAGAACGGGUUCGACGGUGAGGGACGAAAGCUGGGGGCACGAACCGGAUUAGAUACCCGGGUAGUCCCAGCCGUAAACGAUGCUCGCUAGGUGUCAGGCAUGGCGCGACCGUGUCUGGUGCCGCAGGGAAGCCGUGAAGCGAGCCACCUGGGAAGUACGGCCGCAAGGCUGAAACUUAAAGGAAUUGGCGGGGGAGCAC